UGUGGUUUUUUUUUUUAAUUGUAAAUUUAUUUAAGCUUAGGUUUUCCCUCAGUCAGACCACAUUUCAAAUUUGGUCGAGGUAAGAAUUUAGCGGAUUGUCGACUAUAGUCCUGAGCUUGCAAUCAGAUCCAAAGGAGGAGACUUGCCAUUUGAGAUCUUAGAGCCUGUCGAUAUGGAUCCAAUUUCAGGUUUGCUUUCUGGAUUUGGAAACUAUUUCUAUCUCUGCAUGUGCUUUUGGCUGGUAAUUGGCCUGUCCAUGGCAGGGCAUCCUGCAGGCAACUCGUGGACAACCAGGAUUCUGUAGAGUCAUUUUUAUGUAUUUAUCAUGCUAAACAUGCAGCUGGUGGGAUUUUUUUUGGUCUUGCUCAGUGAAAACAAAGAUGGCCAGGCUUUAUGCUAUAGGUAUAAGCUUGAGUCUUGGGAGAUUUCCAGAGAUUUCUCAAUGUGAGGUUUUAUUCUUUUAACAGUAAGGUCUCAGUUCUAGAUUGUCAGUGAGGUAGCGGCUACCUGGACUUGCCAAAGAUUCAGACUUACUUGCCCUAGAUGGGGCAGGACAGAAAACAAGAGUUAAGUAAACCUUGCAACAAACUUCACAAACAUCCACAUCUGCUUUGUUCUCACACAUGCCUUCCGCUUUUGGUUUGUAUGACUCAUAAUUCAGAUGACUGGGAGAAAGUGAUCCAGGUAGUAACUCUUGAACCAUAUACACAGUAAGUCCAAACAAACGAUAUUGCAGAACUUGAACUUCCCAGAGCCAGCCUUAUUCCUAAUGCUUUCAGCACACUGUGCCACAAUGUCCCAAGGAUUAUAUAAGACCUAAAGGGUGCUGUCAUGCAGGAGUUCUUGUGUUGCAUCUUAUCUGGGGUGAAGGUUGUUCAAGGUAGGUUUCCAUAUCGCAUACCCAUAAGCGUUAAGGACAGUUUACUUAUCAGAUUAUGUUACAGGAAAUCUUGAAUAAACUACCUGAAAUCAUAUUACUGCAAAAGCUUGGACCUUGGAUGUGAAUCUGCAAGAACAGAACUGUCUGGGUAUCAGUCGAAAUCAGUGGAAUCUGGUUUGAAAGAUGGGGUCAGUAGGCACAGAGAAAGCAGCAAAGUCAAGAUUUAAACCAAUAUUAAACCCGGUUAAUAUUAUUGAACAAAACAUUCUCAGUGUAAUAAAUUAGUAAAAAUACUUGUAAAUCUUAAAA